GACGAACGCUGGCGGCGUGCCUAAUACAUGCAAGUAGAACGCUGAAGAGAGGAGCUUGCUCUUCUUGGAUGAGUUGCGAACGGGUGAGUAACGCGUAGGUAACCUGCCUUGUAGCGGGGGAUAACUAUUGGAAACGAUAGCUAAUACCGCAUAACAAUGGAUGACACAUGUCAUUUAUUUGAAAGGGGCAAUUGCUCCACUACAAGAUGGACCUGCGUUGUAUUAGCUAGUAGGUGAGGUAAUGGCUCACCUAGGCGACGAUACAUAGCCGACCUGAGAGGGUGAUCGGCCACACUGGGACUGAGACACGGCCCAGACUCCUACGGGAGGCAGCAGUAGGGAAUCUUCGGCAAUGGGGGCAACCCUGACCGAGCAACGCCGCGUGAGUGAAGAAGGGUUUCGGAUCGUAAAGCUCUGUUGUAAGUCAAGAACGGGUGUGAGAGUGGAAAGUUCACACUGUGACGGUAGCUCACCAGAAAGGGACGGCUAACUACGUG
rnacentral:rRNA from 1 species